UACGUAGGGGGCAAGCGUUAUCCGGAUUUACUGGGUGUAAAGGGAGCGUAGACGGCGAUGCAAGCCAGAUGUGAAAGCCCGGGGCUCAACCCCGGGACUGCAUUUGGAACUGUAUAGCUAGAGUGUCGGAGAGGCAGGCGGAAUUCCUAGUGUAGCGGUGAAAUGCGUAGAUAUCAGGAGGAACACCGGUGGCGAAGGCGGCCUGCUGGACUGCAACUGACGUUGAGGCCCGAAAGCGUGGGGAGCAAACAGG
rnacentral:rRNA from 1 species